AAAUAUCAAUAUAUCUGAUGGUUAGGUAUAUGUACAUGUGGAGGGAAAUAUCAAUGUAUCUGAUGGUUAGGUACAUGUGCAUGUACUAAGUUAAAGUUGGAUUAUUUACAUAUUUAAUUAAUCCAUUUCAAUAACAGUUUGGGGAUACUGAAUGGCAACAGUUGGAAAUUUAUAGAUUGUGCCUUAAAACUGAAUUACACAGAGACGAAUUUAAUUUCUUGUGUCUGUCUACAUAUAUGUGCCUGUCUGAUUAAAACUGGAAUUUAC
rnacentral:sRNA from 1 species